rnacentral:lncRNA from 1 species
UGGUUUUCUAAAUGAAGACAAAAUUACAGUAUUAUAAUAUUUCUCUUUUAUUAUGUAUCUAAUAUAUCUCACUAAGGAAAUGUACAAAGAGUAAUCUUUGGGCCUUUGAAUUAAUGUAAUGAGGAAUCUCCAUUUAGCUGCAGCAGAGACGGUCAUGCCCGGGCAUGUCUGUGGAACUCGUAGAGCAGCUGCCAGGAGGCUGUUUGCAUGUGGAUUGAGGGUUCUCUUGGGAGAGUUCUCAUUCUGAAGGAAGAAGUUGCCUGGCAACGAGACUUUGACCCGUGGAGCACGCCUUACCCAACAGAGAAGCGAGGAAGCCCAAGGACAGCGUGUGAGGUCUGUCAUAGCGAUCUGUCUCCCAGCGACAUGACAUGAAAAUGAGAUUCAACAGGGAUGGAUGACCAAUUGCAUGAUGUCAAAUAGUGUAAGACAUGAAACGAGGCUUCUGUGUAACAGCUGGAACUAUCAGGCAGAGGGAACUCGCCUCCCCCAGCAUACACACAAAGCUGUGGCUGUGAGAAAAGGGAGAACUCACUGUACAGUGGAUACCAUGAGGAUCUGGACCAGCUCUUACCGCCAGCUUACACUGACCCCAAUUGUUUAUUUAGUCUACUUCUCUACACUUAAACCAGAACACAACGUCAUGGUGGAUUUAUGUUAAAUCACAAAAUAAGGUAAGGUAAAG